CCCCCGAAAGGCGAUUCCGUGUACAUUUUUUUUUUUCUUCCUGCGCGGGAAGCUCCAGCAAAGUCAGGCCCCUACUGAGGGACUGGCCCCACAAGCUGAAGGCCCCAACAGGACGUUUUCACAAUAGUUGUCCAGCCAGCCAUCCCGUCUUUCUUCAAAGUGAUCAACACCAAAUUAGGGGAGCAAGACCCUUCAGAGACUUAAAAAACCCUAACGCUCAAGAAGAGACUGGAUUUCCAGCUCCCCAAAUGCCCCUUCUACUUUGAGGAGGAGUCUUUUUCUCUGUGUGUUUGCUGCAUGUGUGUGUUUCUUCACCCCUCAAUAAAAGCCCUUCCUAAACUA